rnacentral:rRNA from 1 species
AGUGAACGCUGGCGGUAGGCCUAACACAUGCAAGUCGAACGGCAGCACAGUAAGAGCUUGCUCUUACGGGUGGCGAGUGGCGGACGGGUGAGGAAUACAUCGGAAUCUACUUUUUCGUGGGGGAUAACGUAGGGAAACUUACGCUAAUACCGCAUACGACCUACGGGUGAAAGCAGGGGAUCUUCGGACCUUGCGCGAUUGAAUGAGCCGAUGUCGGAUUAGCUAGUUGGCGGGGUAAAGGCCCACCAAGGCGACGAUCCGUAGCUGGUCUGAGAGGAUGAUCAGCCACACUGGAACUGAGACACGGUCCAGACUCCUACGGGAGGCAGCAGUGGGGAAUAUUGGACAAUGGGCGCAAGCCUGAUCCAGCCAUACCGCGUGGGUGAAGAAGGCCUUCGGGUUGUAAAGCCCUUUUGUUGGGAAAGAAAAGCAGCAGGUUAAUACCCCGCUGUUCUGACGGUACCCAAAGGAUAAGCACCGGCUAACUUCAUG